rnacentral:lncRNA from 10 species
GGGGUCUCACAGCCUUCAGAGCUGAAAGCCCCGAACAGAGAUUUACCCACAUAUUUAUUAACAGCAAGCCAGUCAUUAGCAUUGUUUCUAUAGAUAUUCGAUUAACUAAAAGUAUCCCUUAUGGGAAACGAAGGGGUGGGCCGAAAUAAAGGGGUGGGUCUGGCUAGUUAUUUGCAGCAGGAAUAUGCCCUUAAGGCAGAGAUCGCUCAUGCUACUGUUUGUGGUUUAAGAAUGCCUUUAAGCGGUUUUCUGCCCUGGGCAGGCCAGGUGUUCCUUGCUCUCAUUCCGGUAAACCCACAACCUUCCAGCCUGGGCGUUAUGGCCAUCAUGAACAUGUCACAGUGCUGCAGAGAUUUUGCUUAUGGCCAGUUUUGGGGCCAGUUUAUGGCCAGAUUUUUGGGGGCCUGUUCCCAACACUCUGUCUCUACUAAAAAUACAAAAAUUAGCUGGGCUUGGUGAUUUGUGCCUGUAAUCCCAGCUACUCAGGAGGCUGAGGCAGGAGAAUCGCUUGAACCAGGGAGUUGAAGGUUACAGUGAGCCAAGAUCGUGCCACUGCACUCCAGCCUGGUGACAGAGUGAGACUCCAUCUCAAAAAAAAAAAAAAAAAAAAAGAAACACCAGGAGUGUGUACACAUAUACACGCACAAAACCAGGUAAAAAAGCCAGGUGACACAGCAAGAAGGUGGCAGUCUGCAAGCCAAGGAGACAGGCUUCAGGAGAAAUCAAACACCUUGAUCUUGGACUUCUAGGCUACAGAACUGUGAAAAAAUGUGUUUCUGUGGCCUUAGCCACCCAGUCCAUGGUAUUUUGUUAUGUUUGAUAUAGCCCUAACAGACUAAUGCAACAAUCCUCGACAGAUAGGGGACAACCUGAUGUUUAUAUAUAAGGUUUACACCUCCAGUCCUUCAAGUGGAAAUUCUGAAAGGCACUUAGUAUGCUGCUCAGGAGGUUUCAGCAGAAUCAAAGCUCUGUGGCACAGUGCAUUCACUCCAUAAUCCAUAACACACCCUCAUAAUGGCAUGACCUCCUUCCCUGGCUUACUCCCCCUCCUAUCUCAUGCCUGCUUUCUGGGAUCUCCCUUACUACUGGACACAUAGAAGUCCUUAACUCAAGCUCUGCUUCUGGGGGAAUCCAACCUAAAACAGAACCUGCCCCUAGACUGAAAAUAGGGUCUGGAGUUUGGAGGGACUUGUAGGAAUGGCAGCUUUUAAGGCCCCCACUCAAAUGUGGUUCCAAAUGAGCUCUGAGAGGCACCAAGCAAAGGUCUACUUCAUUUACCACAGUCUUGCCCACCAGAGUCCCAGCGACCAGCAGCCACAUCAGGGAGAAGAAUCAAUGGAAAUGAAGUCUGUCCAUGGACUAAGUAUGGGCCCCUAUGUUCCUGGAACUGUGUAAGCCUGUGAUUCUUGUAGGAUUCCAUGCAGGGGAGUAAAAGGGCUUGAAUAAUAACUGAGAUUUGAUUUCCUGCAAGAUAUGCAAAAGAGGGCUCAAAGUGGGUGACAUACGGCUUAGAAUAAUAAGGAAUAUAACCUGUCUUACACUCUGGUGUUAUGAACUCAGUGAUAGCUACAACUGAUUACAUAAGAAACUGAGAAACUGAGAUCAAGGCAUGUUCCAUGCCAUCUCCAGAGGUCCCCGCCCAGAAGUGCUCAACCAAAUUAAUUCCAAAUUAAGGAGAUUUUGUAUUACAUGUGUUUAUAAAAUGGAAGAAAUUUUUGCCUCUUCCCUUCCCUUUUCCUCUAAGACUAAUUUAAAUACAAGUAAUUUAAAAGUUAGGAACUUCCUUUUGCUGUGUUUGUUUUUCUAAUAGUGCAUGUGUUUUCAUCUCAUUGGUAACACAACAUCAUGACCAAAACCAAGCUAGGCUCCCUUAGUUCAACUUAUUUCUUGGCUUCUGAACAAUAGUGGUAACAAAGCCCACAGGAAAAUUUGGCCUUCCAGACACAUUGUUGUGAUGAUUAGGAAAUAUGCUAGAACUGAUGGCUGCCCUCUGAAUCAUUUUUAAGAGGUAAAAAUUAGUAUCUUUUUCCUUUAAAAGGAAUUUCUUUCUCUCUUUGCAAACUUUGAGUUUCUCUGUUUUGAAGUUUUCAGAUAUGGACUAUAAACUGUCUUCUGUGGGGUUUCUUCUUAAUUGCCUGCAAAAUUUCAUGAAAUUAGCACCUACUGUAUACCUUCUUGUGUCUAGCUAGGAGACUCUCAUCACAUUGUUGAGUGAGUGAAUAAAUGAAUACAUUUCACUUUGUGGAAUAUGAGCUAAUGAACUCAAUUAUACUUUCAAAAUAGCCUUUUAUCCUAUGUGGCUGAGGCUGUCUGCUCUUUGUAAUUUCCUGCUUUGUUAACUUUAACAGAAAAAGAAACAUCUUAAGACUUGUACCCUAUCUAUUGAACAUCCUUCCAUCAUAAUGCAACUCAAUCAACUCUUCUGAGGCUGAUAGAAACAUUCGAAUGGACAACUCAGGAUAUUACCAGCUCCUAUCAUGGAUCCUAAGUGCCAUGUGCAUAGUCAACAUGGAGUGUGAAAAAGACUAUUUAAAGCAUAUAUCCAUUUUUUAAAGUUAUCCUCACUACAUGUAAAAAUAGCAUACACCCUGUCAUCUUGAGUGAGAAUUGUUUAGACUAGUCACACAGCUCUGCUAUCUGAAUCCACUAGGCCACAGAAUUGCUCAACUCUGUUUGCCAUUGACAAUAUAGGUCUGCUUAAUUAUGCAUGUUCUGUUUUGUGUUUCAGUUUUUCUGAAAAUAAAGGAUAUGAAAAAUAACUGGUUAUUUUUUUGCCAUCUGUAGGCCAAUGAGUUAUGAAAUCAUAAAAUAGAAUUUCAUAAAAUAGAAUUAUAGAUGAUGAAAGGAUUAGUGGCUCUUCAGGCAAAAUCUGUCAUAUUUUAGAUGAGGAUAGUUCUUUUAAAAAUAUCUACAAGUCUUGAUCUGGAUUUUAAUCCAGAGAUUUUUGAAAAAUAAAGAUAUUUUGAAUUAUUUAUAUUCUUAAGAAAUAAGUAAAAUAAUUUUAACAUCUCCCUAACUUAAUAUAUUUGCUUAACAAUCUUUUUUUUUUUUUUUUUUUUGAGAUGGGGUCUCACUCUGUCGCCCAGGCAGGAGUGUAGUGGUGCAAUCUCAGCUCACUGCAGCCUUGACCUCCCAGGUCCAAGCAAUCCUCCCACUUUAGCCUCCUAAGUAGCUAGGACUACAGAUGCCUACCAUCAUGACUGGCUAAUUUGUAUUUUUUAUAGCGGCAGGGUUUCGCCAUGUUGCCCAGACUGGUCUCGAACUACUGAGCUCAAGUGAUCCACCUGCCUCGGCCUCCCAAAGUGCUGGGAUAACAGGCGUAAUCCACCACACCUGGCCCUUAACAAUCAUUUAUUGAAUCUCCCAGGUGCAAAGAAGACUGAUAGAUACAGAGACCAUAAAAACAAACAAUUCGAUCCCUGUUUAUAUUUAUUCUAAUACAUUAUGAUGGCAGAUUACAUGAUUUGUAAUGCUUUCAAUAAACAUCUAAUAAUAUAGCUAACAUGUUAUUUAUAAUACAUAAAGAUACUUUUGUGGUUAACCACAGUGAUGACAUUAGUUAAAUAACAAAUUUAAAUUUCAGCCAGAAAUAAAGGCAUUAUAAUAACAUAGCAGAAGAGAUUUAAUGACAAAUAGAAGGAAGACUUCCUUAUGAAAACACUAGAAGGGCUUACCACAGGAGAAUGGGAUCUUUAUCUAUAAAUUUAGGUUAUUUCUUCAUUAUUCAAGGUCUGUUCAAGGAAAUGUACCUGCAAGCAAUAAAAGACCUUUCUCUAUUUGUUUUAGUAGAUUAAUUUUUCGUCUACUUAUGAAAGUAACCACAAGCAUUUUGGAAAACACAGAGAUAAAAUCUCACUCCAACCCCACCAUCUAAACAUAGCCAAGAUUAGCAAUUUAGUAUUCUUCAUCCCUGUCUUAUUUUGUUUAUAGACAGUUUUAUUUUAUAUUUUAUAUAGCUUUAAUCAUGGUAUAAAUACAUUUUUCCUAUUCUUCACUUCCUGUGACAUAAUUGUUGUUUCACAUAAAACGUAAUAUUUGGAAGAUAUGAGAUGCAAUGAUUUUGUGAGGUGUUAGUCCAAUUAUUUUAUUCCCCACCCCACCAUUAUUCAUGGCAAUCUCUCCCAUUUGGGCUGCAGGACAAGAGGCCACCAUCUAGGUGGGGUCAGGCAGUGGUCAGUUCUGGGGGUGAGAAUAAAGAUGCUGAAGUCUAGCUUUUUAAGUUUAUAAGGAAUAUCCAGAUGUAAGGCUAUAAACAAAAAUGUGAAAGCAAGUGCAUCCACAUCCCCAUCACCAAAAACCAAAUGAAGGAACAAACCUGUAGAGGAUAGGGAAGAAAAACUGAAGGGGAAUCCAUGGGGUUUAAGAACUGGUCACCUCCUUCAACUCUCACAUUUCAGUUCAUGUUUGUGUGGGGCUAGGAAACAAGUAUUGGCAAUGGAGCUCCUCCAGGGAGAUUUAGGGGCCUCUGGUAGAGUAUAAUGUGCCUUCAUGAUCCUGACUGAAAUUCUGGCAGUUCCAGCAAGUCAUGGAGAAGUUGAGGAGAAGACUAGAAGGGGAUAGUAGAACUCUGCCAGAUCCAAGAUUCCCACAGACCUCAAGAACAAUGUUUACUUGAAUAUUGCCAGGCAAUGAACUCCAGCGAACAAGUGUGGGAUGGCUUGGAGCAAGCUGGGAUUCUAGGCAAACAGGUCAGCAGCGGAUGGUUCCUCCUUCGCUGAACAUUCUAAAAAGACAUGCGUGAACCAGGAAACAGCUAGGGACACUGUGCUAGCCAUCCUCUAGGAGAGGGACCCCAUUCCCUCUAUUGCACUCUCUCUUUAAGCAAAGUGAUUAUGAAAGUGGCAAAUGGACUGCUUGGACAGUCUGAACUUAAUUGCCAGCUAUUUUGGGGAGUGCUGAGAAAGCUGGCUGCCCAAAAUCUGGAGACUUUGUGGGAAGAUGAGUUUAGAUGCAGGGCCUCCUGCUGCAGAGAGAGGGGAUCCCUAGUUCUAGCCAUUCUCAUUUCUGGGUCUCCAAAGUCAUUUAUCAAGCAUAUUUGUCUGCACAAAUAUCCGAGGUUUAAUACUCUGUAUAUUUGUUUGUAAUUCAGGCAUCACAAAAUUCUGAACUUGCUAUGUAGCAUAUGAAAUUGCUAAUGGAAGAUUGUUUAUUUUUUAAAAAAGACUAGAAGUCUUUAAAUUUCUGGCACAGACAGGCACUCAAAUAUUUGUUGAAUGAGUGAAUGUAAGGAUAAUAGAAUAUAAUAAAUUCCAUUUGGGAUCAGAUUACUAGGCUAUCUAACAUUUAUGAUGAAUCCAGUUCAUGAAAAAGUGUUACUUAGUGAAAUAAUUAUAUAUACUUAACCUCAAUUUUAUUUUUGAUU